rnacentral:rRNA from 1 species
CACGUAGGGGGCGAGCGUUGUCCGGAUUCAUUGGGCGUAAAGAGCGUGUAGGCGGUUUUACAGGUCCGCUGUGAAAACCCGAGGCUCAACCUCGAGCUGUCGGUGGAAACCGUAAGGCUAGAGUCCGGAAGAGGAGAGUGGAAUUCCUGGUGUAGCGGUGAAGUGCGCAGAUAUCAGGAAGAACACCCGUGGCGAAGGCGGCUCUCUGGGACGGUACUGACGCUGAGACGCGAAAGCGUGGGGAGCGAACAGG